GACGAACGCUGGCGGUGUGCUUCACACAUGCAAGUCGAACGAGGUAGCAAUACCUAGUGGCGGACGGGUGAGUAACGCGUGGGAAUCUGCCUUUAGAUGGGGGAUAACGAGCCGAAAGGUUCGCUAAUACCGCAUAGGUCGCAAGAUUAAAGGAGUAAUCCGUCUAGAGAUGAGCCCGCGUCCGAUUAGCUAGUUGGUAGGGUAAAGCCUACCAAGGCGACGAUCGGUAGCUGGUCUGAGAGGAUGAUCAGCCACACGGGAACUGAGACACGGUCCCGACUCCUACGGGGGGCAGCAGUGAGGAAUAUUGGGCAAUGGGCGAAAGCCUGACCCAGCAACGCCGCGUGGAGGAUGAAGGCUUUAGGGUUGUAAACUCCUUUUGUGGGGGAAAAGAAUGGAUGGUACCCCAAGAAUAAGUCACGGCUAACUACGUG
rnacentral:rRNA from 1 species